CAUGCUCUCUCUCCCAGGUAGUUUCUUUACAACGCUAAGCUACUGUAGGCCAGCCAGAUGUUUACAUGCUCUCCCAGGUGGUUUCUUUACAACGCUAAGCUACUGUAGGCCAGCCAGAUGUUUACAUGCUCUCCCAGGUAGUUUCUUUACAACGCUAAACUACUGUAGGCCAGCCAGAUGUUUACAUGCUCUCCCAGGUAGUUUCUUUACAACGCUAAACUACUGUAGGCCAGCCAGAUGUUUACAUGCUCUCCCAGGUAGUUUCUUUACAACGCUAAACUACUGUAGGCCAGCCAGAUGUUUACAUGCUCUCCCAGGUAGUUUCUUUACAACGCUAAACUACUGUAGGCCAGCCAGAUGUUUACAUGCUCUCCCAGGUAGUUUCUUUACAACGCUAAGCUACUGUAGGCCAGCCAGAUGUUUACAUGCUCUCCCAGGUAGUUUCUUUACAACGCUAAACUACUGUAGGCCAGCCAGAUGUUUACAUGCUCUCCCAGGUAGUUUCUUUACAACGCUAAACUACUGUAGGCCAGCCAGAUGUUUACAUGCUCUCCCAGGUAGUUUCUUUACAACGCUAAGCUACUGUA